UACGGAGGGUGCAAGCGUUAAUCGGAAUUACUGGGCGUAAAGCGCGCGUAGGCGGCCUUGCAAGUUAGAGGUGAAAGCCCGGAGCUCAACUCCGGAACUGCCUUUAAAACUGCAUAGCUUGAAUCCGGGAGAGGUGAGUGGAAUUCCGAGUGUAGAGGUGAAAUUCGUAGAUAUUCGGAAGAACACCAGUGGCGAAGGCGGCUCACUGGACCGGUAUUGACGCUGAGGUGCGAAAGCGUGGGGAGCAAACAGG
rnacentral:rRNA from 1 species